UGAUUUUUUCGAUUAGGAGCUGGCAGGGAUUAUAGGAUCAUUCUGUUAGAUUUUCAUCUCCCUGCGAUUUGGUGAAUCUUGCCAAUCUGUUAGGAUUGAAUUGGUUUAUUUUUGUCUGUAGUGAGGUCUUCAUAUCUGUCAAGCUUGGGUGGUCCCCAUUAGCAUUAACAAACGAUUUUCAACUUUUCAAUAUCUCUUUGUUGUUUCAAAUGAGUUUUGAUAUAAGCUGGUUAUGCACAAGUCGUCUUGGUGCGAGCGCGAGGAGGAUGACGAUAAAGUGACUUGCACACUUAGCAUGAAUUUAAUUCAAUGAAAGCUAUGGUCCUGGUUCAACACACUCUCUCUAGUUGGAUGGAUUCAAGUUGCAUGACAUUUUCUUUUGGUCAAAACUUGGUUUUGCAAUUUGUAAUUAAAUAUCAUACCUAUUCCUAAUCAUGAUUUUGGAACAGAAACGUGUAUAAGUUCCCAUUCAUAUGUAUGGCUCUAAAUUUGUGUAAAGAAAGAACUUGAAUUACAUUCGGUGCACAUAAGCAACUCUUUGGAUCA